AACGAACGCUGGCGGCAUGCCUAACACAUGCAAGUCGAACGAGACCUUCGGGAGUGGUGGCGCACGGGGGCGUAACGCGGGGGACGCGGCCCUUAGGUUCGGGAUACCACUCCUACGGGGGUGCUAAUGCCGGGUAAUUUCUUCGGACCAAAUAUUUAUCGCGCUUGGGUGCGCCCGCGUUGUUUUAGCUUGUUGGUAGGGUAAAAGCCUACCAAGGCGACGAUACAUAGCUGGUCUGAGAGGAUGAGCCGCCACACUGGGACGGAGACACGGCCCAGACUCCUACGGGAGGGAGGAGUGGGUAAUACUGGCAUACGGGCGAAAGGCUGAUCGAGCAAGGCCGCGUGAGUGAUGAAGGCCUUAGAGUAGUAAAGCUCUUUUACCCGGGACGAUAAUGACAGUACCGGGAGAAUAAGCACCGGCUAACUCCGUG
rnacentral:rRNA from 1 species